GACGUAGGGCGCGAGCGUUUGUCCGGAUUUAUUGGGCGUAAAGAGCUCGUAGGCGGCCUGUCGCGUCGGUUGUGAAAGCCCGGGGCUUAACCCCGGGUCUGCAGUCGAUACGGGCAGGCUAGAGUUCGGUAGGGGAGAUCGGAAUUCCAGGUGUAGCGGUGAAAUGCGUAGAUAUCUGGAGGAAUACCGGUGGCGAAGGCGGCAUCCUGGACCGACAUUGACGCUGAGGAGCGAAAAGCUAGGGGAGCAAACGGGG
rnacentral:rRNA from 1 species